AAAUUAAAACUUUCAACAACGGAUCUCUUGGUUCUGGCAUCGAUGAAGAACGCAGCGAAAUGCGAUAAGUAAUGUGAAUUGCAGAAUUCAGUGAAUCAUCGAAUCUUUGAACGCACAUUGCGCCCUCUGGUAUUCCAGAGGGCAUGCCUGUUCGAGCGU
rnacentral:rRNA from 1 species